rnacentral:ncRNA from 1 species
AAUAGUCUGCACCGAGCCUUUACCAAACGAUUUGCUGCCCAUAAUAACGGCACGUUUGUGAUCCUGUAAUGCACCGGCAACAAUUUCUGAUGCUGAUGCUGAACCACCAUUGAUUAAUACAACGACUGGUAAGCCGUUCAUUAUGUCACCUGGUUUUGCAUUAAAUUCAAAGUCUGAAUUUUCGAUUCGACCUUUGGUGUAAACCAGUUUGCCUUCAUCAAUGAAAGCAUCUGAUACGUCAGCAGCAGCGCUCAAUACACCGCCAGGAUUGUUUCGUA